GCAGCCACUCAUUCAAAGAGUGCGUAAUAGCUCACUGGUCGAGUGAUCCUGCGCCGAAGAUUUCCGGGGCUAAAACUUACUACCGAAGCUACGGCAUCAGUAAUGAUGGGUAGGGGAGCUUCCCAUACGGGUUGAAGCAUGACCGUAAGGACAUGUGGACAGUAUGGGAGUGAGAAUGUUGGCAUGAGUAGCGAGAUGUGGGUGAGAAUCCCACAGGCCGUAAACCCAAGGUUUCCAGGGGAAGGUUCGUCCGCCCUGGGUUAGUCGGGACCUACGCUGAGGCCGAAAGGCGUAGGUGAUGGACAACAGGUUGAUAUUCCUGUACUACCGAUAACCGUUUGAGAGAUGGGAUGACACAGUAGGAUAAGCUAAGACCACUGUUGGUUAUGUGUGCCCAAGCAUUGAGGCAGUCAAAGUAGGCAAAUCCGCUUUGAUAAUGCUGGGGUGUGAUGGGGAGCGAAAUUUAGUAGCGAAGUAGCUGAUUUCACACUGUCAAGAAAAGUCUCUAUCGAGGUUAAAGGUACCCUUACCGCAAUCCGAUACAGUGGGAUGAGGGGAGUAGCCUAUGGCCAGCGAGAGAACUGUUGUGAAGGAACUCGGGAAAAUGACCCCGUAACGUAGGGAUAAGGGGUGCCACCAUGAGGGGGCCGCAGAGAAUAGGCCCAAGCGACUGGUUACCAAAAACAUAGGUUUCUGCUAAGUCGCAAGACGAUGUAUAGGAGCUGACGCCUGCCCGGUGCUGGAAGGUUAAGGGGAUCUGUUAGAGCAA
rnacentral:rRNA from 1 species